GACAGAGGGUGCAAACGUUGUUCGGAAUUACUGGGCGUAAAGCGCGUGUAGGCGGCCCUGCAAGUCGGAUGUGAAAUCCCACGGCUCAACCGUGGAAGUGCAUUCGAAACUGCAGGGCUAGAGUCCUGGAGAGGAAGGUGGAAUGCUUGGUGUAGAGGUGAAAUUCGUAGAUAUCAAGCGGAACACCGGUGGCGAAGGCGGCCUUCUGGACAGUGACUGACGCUGAGACGCGGAAAAGCGUGGGGGAGCAAACAGGG
rnacentral:rRNA from 1 species